AGGAUAAACGCUGGCGGCGUGCCUUACGCAUGCAAGUCGAACGGCUCUUUCGGGAGCAGUGGCGGACGGGUGAGUAACACGUGCGUGACCUGACACUCGGUGGGGGAUACCCGUCCGAAAGGGCGGCUAAUACCGCAUACGUUCGUCCGGGGUGCCGGGCGAAGAAAGGCUUUCGAGUCGCGGAGUGAGGGGCGUGCGGCCGAUUAGCUAGUUGGCGGGGUAAAGCCCACCAAGGCAGUGAUCGGUAGC
rnacentral:rRNA from 1 species